rnacentral:tRNA from 4 species
UGGUCAGUAGCUCAGUCGGCAGAGCAAGUGGCUGUUAACCACUGGGUCGGGGGUUCAAGUCCCUCCUGACCAGCCA